rnacentral:rRNA from 1 species
AGAGUUUGAUUCUGGCUCAGGAUGAACGCUGGCGGCGUGCCUAAUACAUGCAAGUCGAACGCAUAGCGAAAGGUGCUUGCACCUAUCAAGUGAGUGGCGAACGGGUGAGUAACACGUGGACAACCUGCCUCAAGGCUGGGGAUAACAUUUGGAAACAGAUGCUAAUACCGAAUAAAACUUAGUGUCGCAUGACACAAAGUUAAAAGGCGCUUCGGCGUCACCUAGAGAUGGAUCCGCGGUGCAUUAGUUAGUUGGUGGGGUAAAGGCCUACCAAGACAAUGAUGCACAGCCGAGUUGAGAGACUGAACGGCCACAUUGGGACUGAGACACGGCCCAAACUCCUACGGGAGGCUGCAGUAGGGAAUCUUCCACAAUGGGCGAAAGCCUGAUGGAGCAACGCCGCGUGUGUGAUGAAGGCUUUCGGGUCGUAAAGCACUGUUGUAUGGGAAGAACAGCUAGAAUAGGAAAUGAUUUUAGUUUGACGGUACCAUACCAGAAAGGGACGGCUAAAUACGUGCCAGCAGCCGCGGUAAUACGUAUGUCCCGGGCGUUAUCCGGAUUUAUUGGGCGUAAAGCGAGCGCAGACGGCUUAUUAAGUCUGAUGUGAAAGCCCGGAGCUCAACUCCGGAAUGGCAUUGGAAACUGGUUAACUUGAGUGCAGUAGAGGUAAGUGGAACUCCAUGUGUAGCGGUG